AGUGAACGCUGGCGGUAGGCCUAACACAUGCAAGUCGAACGGCAGCACAGAGGAGCUUGCUCCUUGGGUGGCGAGUGGCGGACGGGUGAGGAAUACAUCGGAAUCUACUUUUUCGUGGGGGAUAACGUAGGGAAACUUACGCUAAUACCGCAUACGACCUACGGGUGAAGGCAGGGGAUCUUCGGACCUUGCGCGAUUGAAUGAGCCGAUGUCGGAUUAGCUAGUUGGCGGGGUAAAGGCCCACCAAGGCGACGAUCCGUAGCUGGUCUGAGAGGAUGAUCAGCCACACUGGAACUGAGACACGGUCCAGACUCCUACGGGAGGCAGCAGUGGGGAAUAUUGGACAAUGGGCGCAAGCCUGAUCCAGCCAUACCGCGUGGGUGAAGAAGGCCUUCGGGUUGUAAAGCCCUUUUGUUGGGAAAGAAAUCCAGCCGGCUAAUACCUGGUUGGGAUGACGGUACCCAAAGAAUAAGCACCGGCUAACUUCGUGCCAGCAGCCGCGGUAAUACGAAGGGUGCAAGCGUUACUCGGAAUUACUGGGCGUAAAGCGUGCGUAGGUGGUCGUUUAAGUCCGUUGUGAAAGCCCUGGGCUCAACCUGGGAACUGCAGUGGAUACUGGGCGACUAGAGUGUGGUAGAGGGUAGCGGAAUUCCUGGUGUAGCAGUGAAAUGCGUAGAGAUCAGGAGGAACAUCCAUGGCGAAGGCAGCUACCUGGACCAACACUGACACUGAGGCACGAAAGCGUGGGGAGCAAACA
rnacentral:rRNA from 1 species